rnacentral:rRNA from 1 species
GGAAGUAAANUGUCGUAACAAGGUUUCCGUAGGUGAACCUGCGGAAGGAUCAUU